AUACGUAGGGGGCGAGCGUUGUCCGGAAUGACUGGGCGUAAAGGGCGUGUAGGCGGCCGAUUAAGUCUGGAGUGAAAGUCCUGCUUUCAAGGUGGGAGUUGCUUUGGAGACUGGUUGGCUUGAGUGCGGAAGAGGUAAGUGGAAUUCCCAGUGUAGCGGUGAAAUGCGUAGAGAUUGGGAGGAACACCAGUGGCGAAGGCGACGUACUGGGCCGUAACUGACGCUGAGGCGCGAAAGCGUGGGGAGCGAACAGGAUUAGAUACCCUGGUAGUCCACGCUGUAAACGAUGGGUACUAGGUGUAGGAGGUAUCGACCCCUUCUGUGCCGGAGUUAACGCAAUAAGUACCCCGCCUGUGGACUACGGUCGCAAGACUGAAACUCAAAUGAAUUGACGGGG
rnacentral:rRNA from 1 species